rnacentral:rRNA from 1 species
UACGUAGGGUGCGAGCGUUGUCCGGAAUUAUUGGGCGUAAAGAGCUUGUAGGCGGUUUGUCGCGUCUGCCGUGAAAGCCCAGGGCUUAACCCUGGGUCUGCGGUGGGUACGGGCAGACUAGAGUGUGGUAGGGGAGACUGGAAUUCCUGGUGUAGCGGUGAAAUGCGCAGAUAUCGGGAGGAACACCAGUAGCGAAGGCGACACUCUGGGCCGGAACUGACGCUGAGGAGCGAAAGCGUGGGGAGCAAACAGG